CGCCCUCCUCUUCCCAGACCCCUUCUCUCUCUCUCUCUCUCACUCGGUCUCUCUCUUCCGUAGCCUUCCUCCUCUUCCCAGACCCCUUUUCUCACUCUAUAAUUUCCCUCAAAUCUGCUUUCUUUGCUGAAAAGGUAGCUAAUCUGCUUUCUUUGCUGAAAGGGUAGCUAUCGUAUUGUUCUGCACCGUCGCCUGCACCACCGUCUCAGAAAAGUGAGCCAAAAUCUCGCGAGAAUCAGGCUGCACACGAGCGGAUCCAAAGGCCAAACCUCCGAUCUUGAAGUCGACACACCCAGAGAUUGCAGCAGUCUCCUAAUCUAUUGGCUUUCGGUUCGCUGGUAAUGUGAUGUUGUCUCUGUCUUGGCUUGAAGUAUCUCACUCAUAUGUAUUCAAUCUGAAAAGGGAGAGCUUGUGUGUGCUUUAGGAGGAGCUGUGGCAUCCACAUCUCUUCUUGGAGUUCCUCUUGGACAUAACUCCUCGUUUCUUCAAGGGCCGACCUUUGCACCUCCAAGGAUUAUCUCAAUUAGUAGCAAACUUUUGCUUCUCAAAACAUUCAGUUUCGAGAAGAUUGGCUGCCUUGCUCGUGUUCUCAUUAUAAUUUUUGUCCACAGGAGAGGUCAAUUCUUUGAAGGAGGAAGUGACAACCCUAAGAGGUCAGGUUGCGGCCCAGGGCGAGAGGAUGAAUAUGAUUCUUCAGGCCUUAGCGAUGUCCGGCCUCCAAAUCCCGACGAUGCCAGCACCUAAUGUUGCUCCACCUUCGACUUCCCAGCCAUUUCGCCCAGACGAUACCGAGUAGCAUGAUGUAUUAAACUUAGAAGACUUGUAGUUUUUUAUUUUUUUGUUCGGACAAACGUACAUUUUCAUAUAUUCUAUAAUUAAUUACUUUUUCUUGGUUUA